GACGAACGCUGGCGGCGUGCUUAACACAUGCAAGUCGAACGAAGAGCGAUGGAAGCUUGCUUCUAUCAAUCUUAGUGGCGAACGGGUGAGUAACGCGUAAUCAACCUGCCCUUCAGAGGGGGACAACAGUUGGAAACGACUGCUAAUACCGCAUACGAUCUAACCUCGGCAUCGAGGAUAGAUGAAAGGUGGCCUCUACAUGUAAGCUAUCACUGAAGGAGGGGAUUGCGUCUGAUUAGCUAGUUGGAGGGGUAACGGCCCACCAAGGCGAUGAUCAGUAGCCGGUCUGAGAGGAUGAACGGCCACAUUGGGACUGAGACACGGCCCUGACUCCUACGGGAGGCAGCAGUGGGGAAUCUUCCGCAAUGGACGAAAGUCUGACGGAGCAACGCCGCGUGAGUGAUGACGGCCUUCGGGUUGUAAAGCUCUGUUAAUCGGGACGAAAGGCCUUCUUGCGAAUAGUUAGAAGGAUUGACGGUACCGGAAUAGAAAGCCACGGCUAACUACGUG
rnacentral:rRNA from 1 species